AUUAUAAGAUAUAAUCUUUAAAUUCAAAGAAUUUGGGCGGUAAUUUAGUCUUUCAGAGGAACCUGGUUUUUUGAUCGAUAAACCACGAAGAAUCUUACUUAUUCUAUUUAAUUGUUUGUAUACCGUCAUUAUCAGAUAAUAUUUAGAGAUAAAAUUAUUAGAUUUUUAAUAAAAAUUAAAAUUAGAUCAAGGUGCAGCUUAUGAAUAAGUUAAAAUAGGUUACAAUUAAGUAAAUAUAAUAUGAAGUAAGAUUUGAAAACAAUCUUAUGAAGGUGGAUUUGGUUGUAAUAGAAAUUAGUAUGAUAAAAAGAUAUAAGCUCUAGAUUAUGUACU
rnacentral:rRNA from 1 species